GGAAGCAGGGGCUGGGGAUUUAGCUCAGUGGUAGAGCGCUUACCUAGGAAGCGCAAGGCCCUGGGUUCGGUCCCCAGCUCCAAAAAAAAGAACCAAAAAAAAAAAAAAUAGGGAAGCAUAAAAUCACUAGUCUCUAAUAAAAAUCACAUGUAGUCAGUCACAUAACUAAAUAUAACCAAUAAUAACUGAAACCUCAGUUAAUAAGAACUGUGGUUUGAAUGCUUACAUCCUGAUGUACAGUAUUAGCAGGUGGAGCCUAAUGAGAGGUGAUUAGAUCCUAUGGGUAGAGUGAUUGGAUGAAUGCCAUUAUGAAGAAAAGAGUUCCUUCUGUAGGAGCAAGUUCAAUCCCCACUCCCUCCCUCUUGUUCUUGAUACUCCUUAUUCUAUUAGGAGAUCUCACAGCACAAGUGUCCUUACCAGAUCCCAGCCCCUCCAUCUUGGACUAUUAUAGCAAUAUAAAACAGGACAGUCUCAGAAGUUAAGGCCAACCUACACUAUAUAGCAAGACCCUGUUGAUGGGGGAGGAGGGUUAAUGCAAAUUUUUAGUAAAAGGAGAUUGCUAAAGUAUUCCCUAUUCUAUAGAAAUGGAAAAUAUAUCCAUUUUGAGUAAAACAAACACAUUUUGAAGCAUGAGGUGAGUGUGUGUAGCUCAAACAUAAAACAUUGCCUAGCUUGUGUAAGCCCCAGGUCAGAUCCUCAGUUCUGGAAGAAAAAAAAAAGCCAAGCAAAUAAACAGAAAAUAUCUGAUAGUCAGGGAUAGCCUUUCAUGAGUUAUCUCUGUGCCUAGGAGAUAGCAACAGGAGAACUAGGAGUUAAGGGUCAUCCUCAGCUGCAAAAGUCAAUCAAGGCCAUUGCGGGUAACCUAAGACUGUGGAGGGUAAGGGGUUGGGGAUUUGGCUCAGAGGUAGAGCGCUUGCCUAGCAACCGCAAGGCCCUGGGUUCGGUCCCCAGCUCCAAAAAAAAAAAGACUGUGGAGGGUAGGGUGUGUGUGUGUGUGUGUGUGUGUGUAUGUGUGAGAGAGAGAGAGAGAGAGAGAGAGAGAGAGAGGGAGAGAGAGAGAACAUUUAAAAUGACUCCCACACAGAUUGUCCUCUGAUCUCCAUGUAUACACACACACACACAUCACAGAUAAUUCGUAGUAUUUAAUACUAAAAAGUAAAGGUUGUUAAAACAGUUCUUUGCCAAGUAUAAAGUUCAGAUUAUAUACUGUUCUCUCUGAAAUGAAUAUGUAAAAAGAGUAUCCAUUUAUUUUAUAAAUCUAAUUCCUUUACUUGGGUGGGGUUUCACUUUGGAUAAGGAAUACUUUUAUUGUGCAUUUAUUUACACACAGUGUAGGAGCAGAUCAAUAAGAUCAUAUUGCCAUUCAGUCUAUCGGUGCCCCAGCACUAGCCAUCAGCCAGGUCCACAUCUACCUAGAGACAGGAUGCAUGACAAACAAAGGGGACUAGAUCCCAGUUUCAACUCCAAGUGUGAGAAGUUCAAGAUGCCCUAUUUUAUUCCAGUGGUUGUGUGUGUCACUGGAUGUAGGUCAGCAUUUUAGCUUUUCUGAGUGACCUGGAUGGUUUCUAAUAAGCGAGUCACAGGCAAUACUCUGACGUCUUCUGUUACUUCAAGAAACAACAGAUUACUCACUGUUAAUUUAAGAGGACUGAUUUAGAAAUCUACGUCAGAGGCCAAAGUGAUAAUCAGUUUUACAAGUUAAAUGCAAUCUUGCAUGACCCAUAACUCUGAUGUUAUGUCUCCCUGUGUUCUUUGGAAGUUAGGAAACCCUUGGAAAGUUAAUCUCAUUUGCACUCUGCUGCUAGGCAGUAUAUUGUUUGUUGGGUAAGACAAUGCAUAGUCAGGUUUGUAGCUCUUAUCUCAAAGCUGUUGCCUGGGCUAACCUAACAUUUGUGGUAGGGGCUUAGAAAAUAGGAGCUCUGAAAUCAACUUCUCUGCCUGAAUUGUGGUUUUCUCUAUAUUCUUUAAUAAGUAGUCUGGCUUCGUGAACUAAUUCUACUGCCUAACUGAUUGUUAAUAAUGGUAUCAAGGCCAGUGGCUGAGCUGGUAAAGGCACCUGCCAUCAAGGCUGAGAAGCUGUGUUCAACCUCAGGGACUCACAUGGGGCUGGAGAGAUGGUUCAGCACUUCAUAGCACCAGCUGCUCUUCAGAGGACCUGGGUUUAAAUCCCAGCACCCACAUGGCUGCAGACCUAGUCCCAGGGGAUCUGAUACACAUAAAGGCAGGAGAAGCUAAUGUGGCAGUGCCUCCACGAAGCCACCUUCUCUCUUCACUGAUGACAGUGUUUGGUGCCUCCUCACAUUCCCUUCUCACAUCAUUCUUCUGUGCCUGCUGGAACACAAAUGCAUGGUGAGAAAACCAUCCCAGACCCCCAGCCCUGUCCUGCCCCUCACUGAAAUCCGGUCACUUCCUCUGCUGCCAUCUUGAAGGAGACCAGAGAAAAGGAAUUGCUUCAGUGCUUCUCCUGUGCUUUGGGAAUGGGAGUCGGGGCUGGCCUUGUCCUGGCUCCAUCAUGUGAGAUUAAGCCAACUACCAGGUCUGCCCAGCUCUCUCCCCAUCUGUCCAUGCCUGUAUCAGCUGGAAUCUUACUACCAAGAGUGUAAGAGAGAGGGCAGGGCACCUGGGUAAUAUUAAACCUCUUCUUCAGAAUUAGUCUCUAAGUUACAGCUGAAAACCAGCAAUCUUUUGUGUCUGCCAUCCUUAAAGGGCAUGUCAAUAAAAGUCUUCAGUGAUUCUAAGUGUCCCUACCCCAUUCCAGGCAUGGCCACCAUAUGCAAGUCAGUAUGUAUUCUUCCUCUUGGACUUUGUUUUGUUUCGUUUUGGUUUUCAAGAUAGGGUUUUCUCUGGGUAUCCUUGGCUAUCCUAGAACUCACUCUGUAGACCAGACUGGCCUUGAACUCAGAAAUCCUCCUGGCUCUGCCUGCUGAGUGCUGGGAUUAAAGUCAUGUGCCACCACUGCCCAGAUAUGUAUCCUUCCUAACAGCAGUCUUGUCUCCCUUAAAUCAGGCACUUUGUAGAUUCCCCUGGGGCCCCUCACCAUCUUCCCGCUUUUGAUUUGCUCAACUCCAGGGACUCCAGCUACCCUACUCUAUUCUGUACUAAGUAAGGUUUAGAACUCAAUGCUGUUCCCUCUGCCUGCAGCCUCCUUGAUAGUACUUCCCUUAAGCAAGUACUAUCAAAAUCACAGUGGCUCUGUUUUGCAGAAUGUACUAAAAUUCAUAAUCUUAAGAUCUCAAAGAGACCUACAAAAAUCUCGAGACCUACAAUAGCAAAAGCAACCUUGAAUAAGAACAAAAAUGGAAGCUGUGGUAUGGUGGUGCAUACCUAUUAUCCCCCAGGAGGUGGAAGCAGGAAUGUCAAGAGUUCAAGGAGAGAGAGAGAGAGAGAGAGAGAGAGAGAGAGAGAGAGAGAGAGAGAGAGAGAGAGAACUUCAGGGGCUGGAGAGAUGGUUCAGUGGUUAAAUGUAGAGUGAAUCUUUUGUGCAAUGUGUGGAAGCUUUAUCUAUCAAUAAAAGGCUGUUGGCCUAUGAGUUUAGGCAGGAAAUAAGGAGGUAGAAGUUCUGGGAUACAACGGAGGAUUUCUGGGAUAGAAUCAGAUUCAGGAGGUUUGCCCCAGAACGCUGAUGGAGAUAGUCACGAGACUGAAGGAUAGGUAACUAGCUGUGUGGCUAGUUCAAACAGGGUGAUUGAGUUAUGAGCUAGCGGAAAUGAACCAAAGCUAUUGGCUUAGGCAUUUAUCCAUAAUAAUCCGGUCUCAGAAAGGUUAUUCCGGGGAGCAAAGUGGCCAGGUAAUACAUAUCUGGUUACAGUUAAGGGCACUGGCUGCUGUUCCAGACAACCCAGGUUCAUUUCCCAGCUCCCACAUGGAAGCCCAUACCUGUUUGUAACUCCAGUUCCAGGGCUUCUGACACCUUCAUACAGACAUACAUUCAGGCAAAACACCAAUGAAUAUAAAAUAAAAUAAUAAAUUAUGAAAAGAGGCUAGCCUGGUCUACCAACAACAGUAACAACAACCAAACAAAAUAUAAAAAACCCGAGAGCUUAUGCUUGGUUUUGCAGCUUACGCUGGCCUCAAACUUGAUUUUCUAGAUCUAUGCAUAUUUGCCACGUGUUCUAUCACCGAGCUAUAUGCCCAGCCCUUGCCUCAAACCUUCAAUCCUCCUGCAUCACCCUCCCAAAUGCUGGAGUUGAGAGUGUGUACACUAUGCCUGAUUUAUAUUUCAUAAUUUGAAAGUUUUCUGUAAACCAACUUCAGUCAAAACGGGCAGACACAUAAGUCAGUGGACUAGGACAGUAGGUCCAGAAAUAAAUCUUCAUAAAUAUUAUGUGCUUUUUAGAAGGGAGGUCAAAACCAUCCACUGGGCAAGAGAACAGUCCUCAACAAAUGACACUGGGAAAAACUGGAUACACACAUGCAGAAUGAAGUCAGGCAUGGGGAAAAGCACCAUUGGGGGUGUUUGGCUAACACACACAAGGCCCUGGCUUCCAGCUCCAGCACAUCGUAAACUAUAAACUGGGAGUACCCGCCUGAAACCUUAGGACCUGGGAGCUGAGUCGAGCCUAAGAAGUUUUAGGUCGUCCUUGGCUACUUAUUGAGUUCAAAUCUACCCUGAGACCUUAUCUCAACCUAUCAGGCUGGGAGCAUGUGUAUGUCAGUAGGAGAUCACUUUCCUUAAUUCAAUAAAAACAAAAUGAAGAGGGAAAAAAUCCACUAUGAACACUGUAACAGGGCAAUCGUAGAGCCAGAGAAAAUACCGCAAAUAACACAUAAGGAAUCGAUAUCUAGAAUAUAAUACAUAUAAUUUAUCAAUUCAUUUUUAUAUUGCAUUAUGUAACUUUAACAAGCAAAUACAUUUUUAUGGUGCUGGAAUUAAAUCCAGAGCCUGUGAAUACUGGGCAUGUCUUCUACUACUGAGCUAAGCCCACCCCAGCCCCACAAAUGGUUGGUUUUUCCCUUUUAAAUGCAAAGUUGGAGUUUAUUUUGUUCUGCUUGUUUCUUUACUGGCCUGGAACUCACUGUUAGGUGAAGCUGGCUGCAAAUCUGUCUAGCCCCAGAUAUCAACCCGUUUCCACCCCUUACGCUGGAAUUCUAGGUAUGGAUCACCAUGCCUGGACAUUUAUGUAUAUGAGUACGUGCGUGUGAGUACAGAUACCGGGAGAAGCUACUGCCAUAGGUGUUCCUCGAUCUGUGAUCUGCCUGCACGGUCCUGGAAGAGCGGCAAGUGUUCUUGACAGGAAGCCUUCAUUCAUUCAUUCACUUAACACGGGUUUUGGGAUAGAAUUCAGCCCUUCAUGUUCAUGGCAACAACUGAAUUAUCUCCCCAGCCCCAAAGUUGGGGUUUAGCAAUAGAAAGUUUUGCUAUGCUAGCUUAGCUACAGCCCCGCCCCAAGGUCAGUGCCAGGGCUCCAGUCACCACAGCACAGCUUGACUACUACUCUUUUCCUCCUACAAGAGGCUCUCUCAAGGCCCAGCCAGAGGUGGGGUGAGAUGGGCUCUGUACUGCCCCCCCCAAGGGCUAACCUGCUCUAACCCUGCAGAGCACUGCUGAGUCAUGGCUCCUCCCAUAGCUGUUGCCAGCAGACCACAGGCUUCUUUCUCAAUUCUGACAGAGAAGAAAGUAUUGUGCAAACUAAGAGCUGGAGAACACCACCCCCUCCUUCCCACCAAGAAGCUCUUUACAUAACUCAGAGAUUAACCAACAGAAGGUACCUGUGGGAAAGAUCCCAGGUGGGGAGCUGGUUUGCUACUGAGGGGGCUCCCCCCAGUUUGCAUGUUCAGUAAGGAGAAGCACUGAGGGAGGGUAUGGCUUGGAAGAGAUGCCCUUAAUUAAGCAACAUUACUGUAGCAAUCGUAGCAUCCACUGACAGAUAAUGCUAACAGUAACACUGGGUCAAAUCCUUUAUGUGCACAGCGUGUAAAGCCAUCACCUUUGCACCUCACACAAGUCAAAAGCGCAGCAAGCUACAGGCAAUCAGUAUUAUCUUAUGUUUCUCUCUUGUAGCCAUUUCUUCCUUCCUUCGUUCAUUCAUUCAUUCAUUCAUUCACUCACUCAGUUUUAACACACAGUCUCAUUGUUUAGAGUGGGUUAAUCUUGAGUUUCCAUCCUUUUGCCUGGACCUUCCUAAGUGCUGGGGUUAUAGCAAGGUGACAACUUUGGUUUUGUUUACUUAUCCUUAGAACCAUCCCCUGGCCUCUGCUGUGCUUUGCACGUAGUGGAUCCAAUACAUGGUUCACACAAAGAACACAAUUCUAGUAUCUCUUGAAAAGGACUUUGUACAUGUCAUUAUUGAAAAAAAAAUCCCAGAUACAGGGAAAGAAUCUCUUUCCGAUGUCAUGAAGAGAUCAGUGUCCAACCUAGAGUUCAGGCCUAGUUUACCCACAGAGCUUACCAAACCAGAUUGUUACGUUGGCCAGUGUGAUUGAACUUUUGAAGCCACGUCCUGUUUGCCCUGAAAACUCGAGUGUCGAUGUUCCACCUCUUGGACGGAUGAGGAACUUCUCUGCCAAGAAAGUUUCCUUUUUAAAGAUUUAUUUAUUCUAUGUAUAUGAAUAUACAGUCACUGACUUCAGACACACCAGAAGAGAGCGCUGAAUCCCAUUACAGAUGGUUGUGGGCCACCAUGUGGUUGCUGGGAAUUGAACUCAGGACCUCUGGAAGAGCAAUCAGUGAUCUUAACCACCGAGCCAUCUCUCCAGCCCCAAGAAAGAUUUUUAAAUCUCGAGUAUUCAAACUCAAGGAUAAACUCAAACCUCUUAGAUACUUAGCAGAACAGGACAAGAGGCACAAUGGCAUCCUUCUUAGUUCCAUGGUGCCUCAAGUGAAAGAGGAAGAAGCACGAAGCCAAGGGGCCUCCUGUUUCAAAAACCCUCCUGAAAAGAUGUUUCUCCGUUGAUUACAUCUAGAGAUAACAUGUUUUGGGGAUUUUGAACCAUCAGUUUGUGAGGAUCAACCUUUAUUCUUCCUCCCUGUCUAAACUCUGUGUCUUGCACUGUGAGAACGUUAAAGUUGAUGCAUGAUUUGAUUUUGGUUCUCAGUGAAGAAACUAAAAUGAAAGCAGAUUCAAGAGGAAACCGUUAACUUUCUGACCUCCUGUACUCACUCGAAAGAGAGUGUGUGUGUGUGUGCCUGUUUAUUUUCUUAGUGUCUCUUGCUUAUGUUUCUCAGUUUGGUUUCAUAAGUAAAAUGUUCCAUUCAUCUAUUUACUUUCCAGACCUAGUCCCUAGAAUUUUAAGUAGGAGUGUUUCCCAAAUUAUGUUUUACUUUAACCCACACAGAUAUAUACACAUUUCUAGAUAUAUAUUCUCUAGACUCAAUAGUAAAAGGAGAGAAGCUACCCCCAAAAUUUGUCCUCUGAUCUAGAGCAUGCACACAUAUAUGUGCAUACAUGCACACACAUAGUAGUGGGAGUACUACUAUGUGGCAGCAGUAAUUAUGAAUAAUAAACAUUGUAAAGCAGUGUCUUUUGCAGGGCAUAAUGGCAAAAUAUCUGUAAUUUCAGCACUCAUGAGACUGACAAGAUGGCAGAGUCCAUAAGUUCAAGGCCUGUCUGGGUUCCAUGGGAAUUUGAGGGCAGCUAGGGUUACACAGCAAGAGCCUGUCUCAAAAUAAAACAAAACAAAACAAAACAAAACAAAACAAAACAAAAUAAAAUUUUUUGGCUGUACAUAGGA